CCCUUGCUGGUCUGGUGGCCAGGAUUUCUGGUUCUCAUCCAGGCUACCCAGGUUCAAAUCCUGGACAGAGAA
rnacentral:tRNA from 1 species